AAAAGGAAAUACAUAAAAAAGGGGUUAUUGUUCAAUUAUUUUAUACACAAAAAAGAAAAAAAUAAGCAGUGAGAGAGAGAAGGGGGAGCAGCAGACCAGUGCCUCGCCGAAACUUCGAAGAGUCACAGACCCCAAUUUUUUUAAUGGAUAAUAAAUAAAUUAAAAAAGAGAAAAUAGUGGGACUAGGGUUUUACGGAUGGAAGUCCCUAGAGAGAAAGAGUAGGUAAUUUUUUUUAUUUAUAUAUGUGUAUGUAUGUAUAGGUACAAAAGAGAGAAAGAAAGGAAAGAAAAGGGAGAUUAUUAUAGUAUGAGUAUGAUGAGGAGGCAACGAUGUUAUUUGGAUAUAAGCAUUGGAGAAGAGCUUGAAGGAAGGAUAAUAGUGGAACUGUUCAAUGAUGUAGUACCCAAAACUGCAGAGAAUUUCAGGGCUCUUUGCACUGGUGAAAAGGGCAUUGGCCCUAACACUGCUGUUCCUCUCCACUACAAGGGAGGUCGUUUUCAUCGGGUUAUUAAAGGAUUUAUGGUACAAGGUGGAGAUAUAUCUGCUGGAGAUGGUACUGGAGGAGAGUCAAUUUACGGUUUGAAAUUCGAAGAUGAAAAUUUUGAUAUGAAACAUGAAAGGAAAGGGAUGUUAUCAAUGGCGAAUGCUGGUCCUAACACAAACGGUUCUCAGUUCUUCAUCACUACAACUCGCACUUCUCAUUUAGAUGGGAAACAUGUUGUAUUUGGCAAGGUUGUCAAAGGAAUGGGAGUCGUCCGUUCAAUUGAACACGUAACAACUGGUGAAGGUGAUUGUCCCACCGUCGAUGUUACAAUUGUCGAUUGUGGAGAAAUCCCAGAGGGGGCAGAUGAUGCGAUAUCCAAUUUUUUCAAUGACGGUGAUGCUUAUGCCGAUUGGCCAGCUGACCUCGAUGAGAGCCCUGAUGAGCUCUCUUGGUGGAUGACUGCUGUGGAAUCUAUCAAGGCUUUUGGAAAUGAACAUUAUAAGAAACAAGACUACAAGAUGGCACUCAGAAAGUACCGAAAGGCUCUACGCUACUUAGAUAUCUGCUGGGAGAAAGGCGGGAUCGAUGAAGAGAAGACUUCAAGUUUGCGGAAGACAAAAUCUCAGAUAUUCUCAAAUAGCUCUGCUUGUAAACUGAAACUAGGGGAUCUUAAAGGUGCACUGUUGGACACAGAGUUUGCUAUGCGUGAUGGAGAAAACAAUGUGAAAGCCUUGUUUCGCCAAGGCCAGGUUAGUAUCUCUCCUAGGCAAACAUGGCACUUAAUGAUGUUGAUGCUGCUGCUGAAAGCUUCAAGAAAGCUUUGCAAUUGGAGCCAAAUGAUGGUGGUAUAAAGAAAGAGCUUGCUGCUGCUAUGAAAAAGAUCAAUGAUCGGCGCAAUGAGGAGAGGAGGCGAUACCGUAAGAUGUUCCAAUCAGACACCACUGGUGCAGAUAACCAAUGAUAGUUAAGAGCUUCAAUUGUCUUUUUUGCCAUUUCGUAUUGAGAUAGUGUUGCUUGGUUCAGGCUUUCUUGAUUAGGAUCUCUUUACCUAGGUAUGGAUUUUCCAGCUAAUGAAAAUCGCAGACGAAUAAUGAAAACCGUAGCCCUUUAUCGUAGGUGUCAUGUUGAUUUAACUAAAUCUUCCUCGGGUUUCAACGGAAGCAGAGGAAGAAUUCCAGCAAAAUUCAAACUGUACAAAAAUCCGAGGCUUGAACCAAUUCUUGAUUCUAAUGAGGCUUUUCAUACAUAGGAAAUUUAGACCCAGACUGCUCAAUUCCUUUUGUAUUUUUUACAGAAUUUGGUAUAAAAUGUAGAAUCUUGACUUGGUAUGAAAAUUUUAUAAAGCCUGCUGUUCUUUUA